rnacentral:rRNA from 1 species
AGGACGAACGCUGGCGGCGUGCUUAACACAUGCAAGUCGAACGGGGAUUAAGUCGGAAAGGCUUCGGCCUGGAAGACUAAUCGAGUGGCGGACGGGUGAGUAACGCGUGAGCAACCUGUCCCAGACAGGGGGAUAACACUUGGAAACAGGUGCUAAUACCGCAUAAGACCACGGGGUCACAUGGCCCAGGGGGUAAAAGGAGCAAUCCGGUUUGGGGUGGGCUCGCGUCCGAUUAGAUAGUUGGUGAGGUAACGGCCCACCAAGUCAACGAUCGGUAGCCGACCUGAGAGGGUGAUCGGCCACAUUGGAACUGAGAGACGGUCCAAACUCCUACGGGAGGCAGCAGUGGGGAAUAUUGGGCAAUGGGCGAAAGCCCUGACCCAGCAACGCCGCGUGAGUGAAGAAGGCCUUCGGGUUGUAAAGCUCUGUUAUAGGGGACGAAGGAAGUGACGGUACCCUAUAAGGAAGCCCCGGCUAACUACGUGCCAGCAGCCGC